rnacentral:rRNA from 1 species
GGGUCAGUAGGUUGGUCGUGCCACCGGUACGUACUGGUCUCACUGAUUCCUCCUUCCUGAGGAACCGUAAUGCCAUUAAUUUGGUGUUGCGGGGAAACAGGACUGUUACUUUGAAAAAAUUAGAGUGUUUAAAGCAAGCUAACGCUUGAAUACAUUAGCAUGGAAUAAUGAAAUAGGACGAUCGAUCCUAUUUUGUUGGUUACUAGGAUUGACGUA